rnacentral:lncRNA from 1 species
AAGGUUCAUCAGACUAGGUCUUGUAUUUAUUAUCUUAGGAGAAAGAUUCAUCAUACUAAGAUUUUGAUCCUAGGAGAAGGUUCAUCAGACUAGGUCUCUAUCUUAGGAGAAAAAUUCAUCAGACUAAGAUUUUGAUCCUAGGAGAAGGUUCAUCAGACUAGGUUUUUUUUUGUUAUCUUAGGAGAAAGAUUCAUCAGACUAAGAUUUUGCUUUUAUUAUCUUAGGAGAAAGAUUCAUCAGACUAAGAUUUUGAUCCUAGGAGAAGGUUCAUCAGACUAGGUUUUUUUUGUUAUCUUAGGAGAAAGAUUCAUCAGACUAAGAUUUUGAUUUUAUUAUCUUAGGAGAAAGAUUCAUCAUACUAAGAUUUUGAUCCUAGGAGAAGGUUCAUCAGACUAGGUCUCUAUCUUAGGAGAAAAUUCAUCAGACAAAGAUUUUGAUCCUAGGAGAAGGUUCAUCAGACUAGGUCUUUUUUUUGGUAUCUUAGGAGAAAGAUUCAUCAGACUAAGAUUUCGAUCCUAGGAGAAAGUUCAUCAGACUAGGUCUCUAUCUUAGGAGAAAAAUUCGUCAGACUAAGAUUUUGAUAACAACUUAGGAGGAAAUUCCUCUCCUAUGGGAAAAACAAACUUAGGAGGAAAUACCUCUCCUAUUGGUAAAACAAACUUAGGAGGAAAUGCAUCUCCUAUGGGAAAAACAAACUUAGGAGGAAAUGCAUCUCCUAUGGGUAAAACUAAACUUAGGAGGAAAUGCAUCUCCUAUGGGUGAAACUAAAACAAACUUAGGAGGAAAUGCAUCUCCUAUGGGUAAAACUCUAACGAUUUCAGACUAGGAAGUGUGUCUCCUAUUAAUGAAAUCUUCACUUAGGAAGUGCGUC